AAUACGGAGAGUUUGAUCCUGGCUCAGGAUGAACGCUGGCGGCGUGCCUAACACAUGCAAGUCGAACGGGAAUCAUUUUUUCGGAAAUGAAG
rnacentral:rRNA from 1 species